rnacentral:tRNA from 1 species
GGGUCCGUGUCCCGAGUGGCAAAGGGGGUGGACUGUAAAUCCACUGGCGGAAGCCUUCGGAGGUUCGAGUCCUCCCGGGCCCA